rnacentral:rRNA from 1 species
ACCUAAUAGAUACCCUGGUAGUCCACGCCCUAAACGAUGCGAACUGGAUGUUGGGUACAUUACGGUACUCAGUGUCGAAAGCUAAACGCGUUAAGUUCGCCGCCUGGGGAGUACGGUCGCAAGACUGAAACUCAAAGGAAUUGACGGGGGCCCGGCACAAGCGGUGGAGUAUGUGGUUUAAUUACGAUGCAACGCGAAGAACCUUACCUGGCCUUGACAUCUGUCGAAUCCUGCAGAGAUGCGGGAGUGCCGCAAGGAACGACAAGACAGGUGCUGCAUGGCUGUCGUCAGCUCGUGUCGUGAGAUGUUGGGUUAAGUUCCCGCAACGAGCGCAACCCUUGUCCCUAGUUGCCAGCACAUCAUGGUGGGAACUCUAGGGAGACUGCCGGUGACAAACCGGAGGAAGGUGGGGAUGACGUCA